CAGUCGCCGCGGUAAUACGAAGGGUGCAAGCGUUAAUCGGAAUUACUGGGCGUAAAGCGUGCGUAGGCGGUGAGUUAAGUCUGCUGUGAAAUCCCCGGGCUCAACCUGGGAAUGGCAGUGGAUACUGGCUCGCUAGAGUGUGUCAGAGGACGGUGGAAUUCCCGGUGUAGCAGUGAAAUGCGUAGAGAUCGGAAGGAACAUCUGUGGCGAAGGCGACUAUCUGGGCCAACACUGACACUGAGGCACGAAAGCGUGGGGAGCAAACAGGAUUAGAUACCCGUGUAGUCCCUGUCUCUUAUAC
rnacentral:rRNA from 1 species